AUAUAUAUAUCAACCCAUUCUUGUUGGAGUGGUUUGGAUGUGGGGGUUUGCUGGCCUUAUUAAAAGGUUCAGCUCCCUUGAAAUGCAUUAGCAGAACGAACCUGUUCAUUGGCGUGAUAACUAUCUAUGCUAUUGAAUGUGAGGGGAAGUUCAGCUUUCUAACUGUCCUUGGACAAUUCAUCA
rnacentral:misc_RNA from 1 species